rnacentral:rRNA from 1 species
GACAGAGGGGGCAAGCGUUGCUCGGAAUUACUGGGCGUAAAGGGCGCGUAGGCGGGAUGGCAAGUCGGUCGUGAAAUCCCUCAGCUCAACUGAGGAACUGCGAUCGAAACUGCCGUUCUUUGAGGAUUGCAGAGGAGACUGGAAUUCCCGGUGUAGCGGUGAAAUGGUGUAGAGAGUCGGGAGGAACACCGGUGGCGAAGGCGGGUCUCUGGGCAAUUCCUGACGCUGAGGCGCGAAAAGCCGUGGGGAGCAAACGGG